CUUCCACGUCCCCACUCUUCUCCUAUAAAAAUCCUCUCCAUACUUGCUUCAGUUCCACACCAACUCCAGAUUUUCUCCACUAUUAAAUUCUCUACAACCUCAUCACAAUUUCAUUUACAUCUACAAAUCUUUUGCCCUCAAAACAACUCAAAAUCCCAGCUUCUUACCAAGAGUAGCAGGCGACAGUUCGUAGCUCAAAAUCACAGCCCUGCAAAAUUUACUUCAUAACAGAACUCCUCAUUAAGGUCCACUUGAUAGCAGGCUUUAGCAUUGGCUUUACAAGGCAAGAGAAUUUGUGCAUCUUUUAUCUACGAGCUUGUUCUAUCAAGGUUGAGCGGCAGAUGGUGCGAAGCUGAGGGUGUUGCUGUAUUUUCACUAAGGUGGAUAUUAUUUGAGAUUAGCUAUUUUAAUAUUCAUAGCCUAUUUAAUAUGAACUUCUGAUGUCAUCGCUUUCCUAGCGAUUAUUCCUCUCAUAUAAUAUUCGCUUAGUACUAAAUGUUACUCCCUCCGUCCCAGGCCAAUAGGCCCAGUUGCUUUCGGCACGGAGAUUAAGAAAGUCACUUUUUGGUAGGUAAAUGGUGUGGUCCACCAACAAUUAAUGUUUUAAGUGUUCUCUUA